AGCUUUGUGCAGUGGCGGUAUCGUAGCCAAUGCGGUUUAUCCGAGGCGCAAUUAUUGCUAAUUGAAAACUUUUCCCAAUAUCCCACCGUGAUGACUUGAAAUAUAGUCGAUCCUGGCAAUUUUUGAUGGUCUCUAUGGAGA
ensembl:snRNA U4 U4 spliceosomal RNA